CAUGGGACCUCUGUCCCCAUCACUCCAUUGAAAUUGAUUUCCUUAAGAAGGUCCAUAAUCUAAUUGUCGAAUUCUGUCCUCUCUUGCUUCCCAUAAUAGCACAGCAUCCUGAAUUUCCUCCUACCUCUCCAGCCUCUUUCCUUCUGUGAUAUUCCCUAGGGGGCCACCUUCGUCUUUUAUAACCUCCAUCCCCUGUGUCAUACACUUCCUCAAAAUACCAGCCAUGCUCCCAAACUCAAACUCUGUAUCUUGGAGUUCCCAUGUGGCACAGUGGGUUAAGGAUCCAGGUUUGUCACUGCAGCAGCUCAGGUCACUGCUGUGGUUCAGGUGGAUCCCUGGCCAGGAAAUUUCCACAUGCUGCACGCACAGCAAAGACAACAGCAAAAAUCUAUGUCUUCAACAUGCAUCUCUCAGAGUUCCCAUUGUGGCUCAGUGGUAAUGAACCCGACUAGUAUCCAUGAGGAUGCAGGUUCAAUCCCUGGCCUCACUCAGUGGGUUGGGGAUCCAGCAUUGCCAUGAACUGUGAUGUAGGUUGCAGACACAGCUUGGAUUCCGUGUGGCUGUGGUGCAGGCCGGCUGUACAGCUCUGAUUUGACCCCUACCCUGGGAACUUCUACAUGCCUGCCGCAGGCGCAGCCCUGAAAAGCAAAAACAAAAACCCAAAAAAACAAAACAUACACUGUUCUUGGAACUGUAGUCUUGUGUGUUUCUUGUUGUGGUUCAGCAGGUUAAGAAUCUAACUAGUAUCCAUGAGGAUGCAGGUUCGAUCCCUGGCCUCAUUCAGUGGGUUAAGGAUCCAGCAUUGCCGCAAGCUGCAGCAUAGUUGCAGAUGCAGCUUGGAUCCAGCUUUGCCGUAGCUGUGGUGUAGGCUGGCAGCCACAGCUCUGAUUGAUCCCAUCAUCUUCAAACUUCCAUGCCAUGGGUGCAGCCCUAGGGGCGGGGCGGGGGGGUGCAGGCGAUGCUGUCAUCUACCCCAUCUUCUAAGCUUCCACCUGGGGGACAUUUAGGACAGCACCCCCUCACCCUUGCCCUCUAAUUCCAAUCAGUUCCUGUGCUCUAGCCUUUCUACUUCUACUUGCUAAAUACCCAUCUCUCUGCCUCUCCGCUGUCUCUGUCAUGGGCUUAAUCUGGACCCUCCUCAUUUCUCACCUGGACUGCAGCACGGCUUUGAAAUGGAUUUCCCUGCACCACCGUUCCAGCUGCCUUUCCACUUCCCCCACUAGAUUCACUGUGGUUUUUGUGACAAGCAAGUAUGAUCAAGACACUUGCCAGUUGUCAAAGUCUUCCCCGUUGUUUUGAGGAUGAAGGAUGAAGACAGUUGCAACAGCUGGGUAGAGAGGCCGUGAACUAAAACAGCGGCAACUGAGAUGGAGAGAUGCGGGGCUGGGGAGAGAGGAGCAGGAGGUCCUACGGAGCUAGAAGGGAAGAGAUCCCAUUACUGAUUAGAUGUCGGGAGUGGGGAUAGUGGAAGCACGAAGGAAAACGCCCCAUCAUCAUCUGAGUUGGAUGAUUGAGUGGGCGUGGCCUCAUUCUCCGAGACUAGGGACCGAGACCUUCCUUCCCUCGUGGUCUGUUGUGACCUCAGCAGGACACCUCAUCUGGGGCAACAAGGUCUUUAGGAAACUGGGGAGUCUGGGCGGAGAUGAGUUAGAACCUGGUAAAGAAGAAGAAGUAAACCUCUCUUCUGCCAGGAGGCUCCUAAAAGUUUGCUGGCAAAGACCAGGAAAAGAACCAGGACCAUGCGCUCAGCAAGACAUUACCUAAGUGCAAAAGGGUUUAAAGGACUCAUAACUCUGACUUCCAUCCUCAUUUAUUUCAUGAGCAUUGCCGUUCCCUUUUUCUCGGUCAGGGUUUUGGCUGUGUUUGGAAUAUCUUGCCCUUUGCAAAAAAUUCUAAAACACAAAUUGUUCUGUUGCUGUGCCUCCAGGGUGCACAUAGAUAAACCAAUAGACAGCUCUUGUCAUCUCACUGUCUUUUCUGAGUCUUACUCAGUUAAAACAAAGGAAAGGCUUGUUUGCUAGACCUUUGAAACAUACCUGAGCAUGUCCAAUUCACUCAAAAGCCAAUUCCCUCCAGGGAUCACUCUGAAGGAACCCAAGUCAUUUGAAAAUCUAUACACCAACAAUUGAUUAAAUUGAGCCAGAUCCCCCAGUUGAACUGUUUAGCCAAAUUCAGGUAUAUCCAAUACAUUGGGGUAGUAAGUCCUCAACACAUUUUUCUUCGGCACGGCCAGAUAAGAUUAUUUAUUGUUUUACACAAAUCGGAAAUAUAUAUGCUAUAACUACGAAGUUUUCAUAGGUAACCUGGUUAGAGUCCUGAACGGGACCCAAGAGAAGGCUGAUCUUUCUGCCAGAGAGCAGCAAAAAAAUCUGACUUUCUGCUCUGCGAGCAGGUGGCUGAUGGACUGUUUUAUGAAGGGUUUAAUUAACUCUGUCGGUCUUGUCUUAGCUACCUACCAAAAUAAACUGUGCAAAUCCCAACAUGAUAGAAGGACUCUAUCAUCAGCUUAUCUGUGUAAGGCUCCACAGCCUAGGGAAAUGAAAUAACUAAGGAAGAGAAGUUAGUAAGUGUGUAGUUUUAAGAGGCCUCUAUUUCAGGUGCUGCCAGUGGCCAGACAGUGAACAGCCAGGGAGCCCUUCUGGCUGCUUUAUUCCUGGGCCCCAAGUUGUCCUCGGAGCCGUCAGGGGGAUCCAGCCGGGUUCAGUGCCUGGGCUCUGCUUGUCAUCUUGGUGUCCCCCUCAAGGGGACGUUGCCUGGCCCCCUGAUGAGGGUCGGUCGUUAUGACACUUUUACUCAUAAAUCUCACCCGGGUGAAGCCCCAUUCCCUUGGGACACUACCCAGUGGCAAAAGGGUAACCAGGUAAAUGCAUUCAAUGAAUAAUGGUCACUACUGAUACAUGCUUCAUGUCUGUGCCUUUCGAUUGAACAGCACUGCAUUCUCACCACCACCUCCAAGGCCUUAUCUCAAAAGCACAAGCAAAGUGGAAACAUCACACAGUGUGACAGAGAGUCAGAGAUAGAAAUAGAGAGAUCCUAGCUUUGAUCAAUAAUACCUUUCCUGGUAUCCCACCCACUAUACAUGCAGGUGAGAACCUAAAUAAGACCUAGAAUUGAGGACACAUUUUUGUCUGAGCCCUUUGUCUUCCAUUUGAGGAAGCUGGGGCCUGAAAAUGGCUGUGUUGCCCAAAGUCAUACCUGGACUAGAGCCCAGGUCUCCUGAUUUCAGGCCACUGAUCUUCCUGCCAUGUUGUCAGUUGCGAAUGGCCCAAUGGGAGGUGAAAAGGUUGGAGAACCCGGCUUAUCUUAGUAGCUACCCAGGUCUCUUCCCAUCAAGGACUUUAAAUAUAAGGUUCAGAGAGCAGACUAGGUAGACACCCAAGGAGAAAUGGGAAAAGUGUAGACUCAGUGGUCCAUUGCCCUCAGUCUGGGAAGCGGAAUGGGUUGGCAGGAAACCAGGAGCAUAGAUUGUCCUGAGGGAGCCGUAAGAGCUGCCUUCCUCAGUUGUGGAUAUUCCAUCCCACAGAAAGAACCAUCCAACGAGCAGAAGCCCUGCCAUUUUUAUCCUAAGCCCAAGAGUACUGCCCUGCUUCUGGAUUCCACCCCACCCACCCCUUCCUUUAGAAAGAGAUUCUUUGUUUCUCUACCACCAAUUCUCACAGACCUCCAGGGAAAGAGUCUUCUUCAUCAUAUGUCUUCAUUCCAUAAGCGUGUAUUGAGAACCUGCUAUGUACCAGAUGGUGAGCUGGGUCCUGGGGAAGCAAAGAUGGGAUAGACACAGUUAUUCUUCUCAAGAGCUCAUCCUCUGGAGGUCCCACUCGUGUAUAAGCGCUUGCUCACACAUGGGUCUAAUAGCCCCAUGUGGACGGUGGUCAUAUUUCUAAACCCCACAUGUCAACAUACGGUCUGAAAAAGAUUGCUUUUCAAUCUUUUGAUUGAAACUGUCUAUAUGAACAUCCUUCAAAGGGUUAAAAAUUAAAUUGCUUUCAUAAGUCCUUUAGCAGAGUUCCUUUACUGAAAAGAAAUAAAUUCUAUUAAAUCAGGCAUUUUUGAGAAAAAUCUGUGCUCUAUGUUCAUCAAACAUGUGUUUUUAACUUGUAAAAUUUAUAAUCAUAGGCUAUUGCAGUUGAAAAGGAUCUGACAGAUCACCUAAGCUGGUAGAAUUUGACUUUUUUAAUUUAUUUUUUAAACAAUGAAGCAGUUUUUAAAGCCAUGUAGCACCAAAAUGUCCCAAAUAUAAAACAGUUAAACUGGACCUGCUUUGGUCCAAGGAGAGAUGGAGAGCUCCCCUAAACUCCCCCUCCCACCCUGCCACUCAAGCUCCCUCAGAUUUUGGAACUGCACCCCACAAAAAUGACUAUCAAACUAGCCCUCACAUCCCAAAUGGAGACCUGAGAUCCAAAGAGAGUGGAACCUCAUUUUAAUGAAUUACAUCUGCAGCAAGCCAAUUUCCCAAUAAGGUCACAUUCUGAGAUCCUAGAAGUUAUUCCGACUUCCACACAUGAAUUGGGGAGGGGAGAGGACACAACUCAACAUAGCUCUGCUUCCUGCACAGUGGGGAUGGAGGUCUUGGUCAAGACAAGGAAGCCCCCAACACCAGAUCCUUAAGGGAGAGAGGUGAGCCUGUGUGACCACUCCUGCGGAGAAGUGAGGAGAGAGAGCGGGUGCACGGAGAGAUGUCCCUAAGAAAGCAAGAGAGGAUGGCGGUGAGACCAGAGAGAGGGAUUAGCCUGAGCAGCGGGGAGAGACUUCCUGUAUCAUCACAAGGAGACAGAAAGGAGAAAGGGAUGAGUUUGGAUGCAAAAGGAUAUCCCGAUAUGAAGGAGAGGAGUCAAGGUUGUUGCUUCAAAUGGUCCCAGCUUUCUUGUGAAGCAGGAGGAGAGGUUGCCUACUGAGGCUGACAGUGGAGUUUGGGGUUGGAGCUCAGUAGGUGGACAGGGAAUAGAAUCAGAGACUUGAGGACAGUGGAGAGAGUUUGAAAUAGCCCUGUGCAUAAUAGACCUUAGCCAGCUGUGUCUCAAGUAGGCACCAAAGAGGAUCGCUCAUAAUUGUAUCAGAAAAAUGGGAGAAUGAGGGGUGAGUUGACCAGGGAACAGAGAAAGGCUGUCUAACAGUAACCAGGGCCCAGAUGGCAUUGGUGACCAAAGUUUAUAGUGGCACCAUCUGCAGGGUGUGAUGUUUUUCCAGCAGUCCUCAACAGCUGGGAGAUUGGUGGAGAGAAAGUAAACAGUUGAGUUCAUCCAGGGCUGGGCUUUGCCCAGGAGGGUGCAUUAAAAGGACAAAGGGACAAGGAGGCUGAGGCUGUCAGCAAGAGGAGGGUCCAGUGAGGAAGCUCAGGGGCCCAGGUGUGUAGCGAAGGAAGGGAGCAGUGAGCAGGCCAUGCCUCUUUUUGCAGAAGAGCCGUGCACAUGCUUCUUGCUUCCUGUUGAACAGAACAUAGUCAUUGCUGCCUCCUGGAGAAACAGAUGCUGCCAGAUGUGGCCCACUAAUGAGCUGUAAGCCGAUGGGCUCCCAGCUGAUCUUUCUCCUCUAAGGUGGUCCUGACUGGCCCCAGCUGAAUAACAGCAGUUUGUACCCAGCGCAGCCACAAUGGUUAGCGUGUACUCUGGGGACACAUACCCCUAUGAAAGGAUGAAGUCAACGCCAGCUGCAUCUGUGGUGUAUUGGUUCACCCUCUACAUCGGUUUGCUAAUCCAUGUGUUAUUUUUAAAUGCCGUACGGGCCAACCCUGUCUGUUUGGAUUUUAUUACUGUGAUUCUUCCAAAGGCCCAGAUUUUCUCUUAAUAUACAUCUACCAAUAUUAGUAGCAGUCAACUCACAACUCCAAGUUAAUAGAAUCACUUUCAUAUGCUGAGAUAUAAAAUAAUGGAGGAAAAAAACUUUUUAGUCAUGUACUGAAAAUACUCCCAGUACAGAAUGAUUAAAACUAAAACCAAACACCAAACCUUGUCAGGAGCAAUGGAAAUUCUCAUACCGUUCUGGAGAGAAUAUAAAUUGGUACAACCACUUUAACAGUCUGGUAUUUUCCACUAAAAUUGAAUACACAUACGUCCCUAGUCCAACAGUUCCAUUCCAAGGUAUACACACAACAGAAAUCGAUAAACAUCUGUAUAGCAUUAAUUAUUCAUAGUGGCCUAACACUGGAGACAACUCAAUUGUCUAUCAACAUUACAGUGGAAGGCUAUCCAUACAAUGGAAUACUAUACAGCAAUGAACUGACAAGCUACACCGAUAGGCAAAAACAUAGAUGAAUUUCACAAACAUAAUGCCGAGUGGAAGAAGUUAACAUAAAAGAGUACAUCCAGUGUGAUCUGUCUAUUCAGCGUUCAAAAACAGGGACUAGUGACUAGUAUACAAGAAGGCAGAUUUCAGUAGGUAGAGUAUAAAGAGGGAGAGGAUUAUCGUAAUAGGUAGGACAGCUGCCUCUAGAUGGGCUCACCACUAACAUGUGUGGGGCUUAGAUGGAGAACUGCAUGUCAUAACCCCAAAUAUUUAACAGUUGUAAGUUAAACUAACCCUCUAUUAAGUAAAAGAUGUUCUAGGGUGUUCCCAUUGUGGCUCAGCAAUAACAAACCAACUAGGAUCCGUGAGGAUUCAGGUUCAAUCCCUGGCCCUGCUCAGCGGGCUAAGGAUCCAGCAUUGCCAUGAGUUGUGGUGUAGGUCACAGACAUGGCUCGGAUCCAGCAUUGCUGUGGCUGUGGCGUAGGCCAGCAGCUGCAGCUUCGAUUUGACCCC
rnacentral:lncRNA from 1 species